rnacentral:rRNA from 1 species
AUAGCGUAUAUUAAAGUUGUUGCAGUUAAAAAGCUCGUAGUUGAACUUCGGGCCUGGCCGGGUGGUCUGCUUAACGGCUUGUACUGUCUGGGUGGGCCUUACCUCUUGGUGAGCCGGCGUGCCCUUUGUUGGCGUGCGUCGGGGAACCAGGACUUUUACCUUGAGAAAAUUAGAGUGUUCAAAGCAGGCCUAUGCCUGAAUACAUUAGCAUGGAAUAAUAAAAUAGGACGCGCGGUUCUAUUUUGUUGGUUUCUAGAGUCGCCGUAAUGAUUAAUAGGGAUAGUUGGGGGCAUUGGUAUUGAGUCGCUAGAGGUGAAAUUCUUGGAUUGACUCAAGACCGACUACUG